GUUCUCUACGCUCACGACAGUGUGCGCUGCUCUUGCUCAGUAAAGUUAGGCAUGUUUGCCCCGCUUCGCAAAGGGACGACCGUUUUCUUCGCAGCUCCACAUUGGGAGUUGGGGAGAGAUUCGAUCAUCUCCUACCACCUGUCCAGCAACAGCACCACCUUGGGACUUUUCACGACGAGCCACACAGUACGACGAUCGACGAAUUCACCCCUUUAAUCUACACACCGCGGCCAAAACCCGACACAUGCCAUGCAAAAGCGCACAAGUACCCGCAGGCUACGAAAGAUAUUCCCACAGCACCCUUUUCGAAAGGUCAACGAACAAACUGGCACUGGCACAUUUUUCAGCCACUGUUAUGUCUGCAGAACACGAACGAAGAAAAAUGCCCCUCGUAAUACCAACCACUGUCACACGACUGCUUCGAUCCUCCGGGCAGCAAACACCACCUUUCGCGACGCCUUCUGGACACACUGGCACAGUAUGACUUGGAGCACAGCACCGUCGCCUAUCGAUGGGUAAAACUGCACCAGUUUCGGCCGGAAGCACGGAGUGCGGGACCGGAAAGCGCUUCAAUGGCGGCAAAGAAAAA